GCGGAAGUGGUGAAAUUGGUAUACACGCAACCUUGAGGUGGUUGUGCCUAACGGCGUGGGGGUUCAAGUCCCCCCUUCCGCACCA
rnacentral:tRNA from 1 species